rnacentral:rRNA from 1 species
UUGGAGGGCAAGUCUGGUGCCAGCAGCCGCGGUAAUUCCAGCUCCAAUAGCGUAUAUUAAAGUUGUUGCAGUUAAAAAGCUCGUAGUUGAAUUUCGGGGUUAGUAGGUUGGUCAUGCCUCUGGUAUGUACUGGUCUCACUGAUUCCUCCUUCCUGAUGAACCGUAAUGCCAUUAAUUUGGUGUUGCGGGGAAUUUGGACUGUUACUUUGAAAAAAUUAGAAUGUUUAAAGCAAGCUAACGCUUGAAUACAUUAGCAUGGAAUAAUGAAAUAGGACGUUCGAUCCUAUUUUGUUGGUUUCUAGGAUUGACGUAAUGAUUAAUAGGGAUAGUUGGGGGCAUUAGUAUUCAAUUGUCAGAGGUGAAAUUCUUGGAUUUAUUGAAGACUAACUACUGCGAAAGCAUUUGCCAAGGAUGUUUUCAUUAAUCAAGAACGAAAGUUAGGGGAUCGAAGACGAUCAGAUACCGUCGUAGUCUUAACCAUAAACUAUGCCGACUAGGGAUCGGAUGAUGUUAAUUUUUUAAUGACUCAUUCGGCGCCUUACGGGAAAC